rnacentral:sRNA from 1 species
GCCAGGUGCAGUGGUGCACACCUGCAAUCCCAGCAGCUCUGGAGGCUGAGGCAGGAGGAUCACAAGUUCAAAGCCAGCCUCAGCCACUUAGGGAGGCCCUGGGCAACUCAGUGAGAUUCUGUCUCUA